AUGGAAGAAGGAAUUGAUGAAACUAUGGGCUCAUUGGAUGAAAAAGAUGAUGAGGAGAGCGAAGAACAAAAGGAGGAAGAGCGAAUUAGCUACCCGUGCGCACCUUCUAGUGAGAGUAACUCUUCAACUCAUACAUUGUUUAAUUUCCCUUCAUGCUUACCGAAAGAUGAUUGCCAUGAUAAUUGCUAUGAUCCCAUUGAUUCGUUUGAAAUAUCCCUUUUUGAUGAACUUGAUGCUUGCUAUUCUUGUGGCCAAGAUGCCAACUUGAAUUAUGCUUAUGGAGAUGAACUUGCUAUUGUUCCUUAUGUUAAACAUGAAAUUGUUGCUAUUACACCCACACAUGAUAGUCCUAUUAUCUUUUUGAAUUCUCCAAACUACACUAUAUCGGAGAAGUUUGCUCUUGUUAAGGAUUAUAUUGAUGGGUUGCGUUUUACUACUACACAUGAUGAUUUUGAUAGAUAUAAUAUGCAUGUGCUUGCUGCUCCUACAUGCAAUUAUUAUGAGAGAGGAACUACAUCUCCGCCUCUCGAUGUUUCCAAUAUGAUAAAAUUGCAAGAAACUGUUUAUACUAUGCAUUGGCCUUUACUAUGUGUGCAUGAAUUGUUCUUGUAUGACAUGCCGAUGCAUAGGAAGAGAGUUAGAAUUCUUCAUUGCUUUAUAUAUGUUGCUUUGUGCUCACUACUAAAUUCCAAAUCAUUGUUAAUUAAAAUUGGCUUUGAUAUACCUUGGGAUCCGGGUGGAUCCAUUACUUGA
rnacentral:rRNA from 1 species